GGAGAGUUGGCAGAGUGGUAAUGCACCGGCCCGCUAAGCCUGGGUUAUCCUUCAAAUGGAUACGAGGGUUCGACCCCUUCACUCUCCG
rnacentral:tRNA from 1 species